CCUACGGGAGGCAGCAGUGGGGAAUAUUGGACAAUGGGGGCAACCCUGAUCCAGCCAUGCCGCGUGUGUGAAGAAGGCCCUCGGGUUGUAAAGCACUUUCAGCGAGGAAGAACGCCUAGCGGUUAAUACCCGCUAGGAAAGACAUCACUCGCAGAAGAAGCACCGGCUAACUCCGUGCCAGCAGCCGCGGUAAUACGGAGGGUGCAAGCGUUAACCGGAAUUACUGGGAGUAAAGCGCGCGUAGGUGGCUUGAUAAGCCGGUUGUGAAAGCCCCGGGCUCAACCUGGGAACGGCAUCCGGAACUGUCAAGCUAGAGUGCAGGAGAGGAAGGUAGAAUUCCCGGUGUAGCGGUGAAAUGCGUAGAGAUCGGGAGGAAUACCAGUGGCGAAGGCGGCCUUCUGGACUGACACUGACACUGAGGUGCGAAAGCGUGGGUAGCAAACAGGAUUAGAUACCCUGGUAGUCCACGCCGUAAACGAUGUCGACCAGCCGUUGGGUGCCUAGCGCACUUUGUGGCGAAGUUAACGCGAUAAGUCGACCGCCUGGGGAGUACGGCCGCAAGGUUAAAACUCAAAUGAAUUGACGGA
rnacentral:rRNA from 1 species